GUAUGACUCCUCGGGAGUCAGAUACUCUCGAGGAGCGAGAAAGGAAGCGGCUGCGGGAUAUCUUUGCAGAACCAUCUGACGAGGAUUCCUUUGAGGGUUUUACUGAGAGAAUGGAGGAAGAGAUGGUUAGCUCAGAGGAGGAUGACAUGGAAUGGACUCGUGUGAGGGAGGAUUUGGGUGCCACUGGCAAUGAUAGUAUGGAAGGCGAUUGGGGACCUUCAGGAUUAGACCCGUGGACAAGCUGGAGGGAUGGGACGGGAUCCACAGCUGGGGAUGCUGUGGGGCGUAGUCAAAGGUGUUUCAGUUCUGAUGAGGAAAGUGAUGAGGAAACGCCUGGAAUUAGGGUAACAGCUGAUAGUGAUGAGGAGUUGUAAACUGGCAUAAAAUGGGGUUUGGAAGCAAUGGCUAAUUGCGUUGGGCAAGGUAAUCUGGACGAACGCUUGGGCUCUGUGUGGGAAAUUCCUGAAGACGGGUGUGAUUCGUUUGCUGACUACCUUGGACCUCCGUCGUCUUCUUGACGGACGCCAUCUGUUUACUCUGGACUUACGGACUGACUGACUACGGCCUCGGACUCUCCUUCCUGUGAUUAUCGUUGGACCUGGUGAACUACAAACGUCUGUACCUGCCUUACGACCUUCGGACCGGAUUGGAACUUCGCUGACCGCUUCUGCCCUUGAAUGCUGUGUUUGUAUCGGGAAAUUGCUUGCUGUGUGGAGGAGUAACCUCUUAGUUACUCAAACAUAGCUUUUGGCAGCAGAGAAGCAUCUGCUGCCAGUUUUUUGCAUUCCUUUGAAUCUUUUGUUCACCAGCUUUUGUUUGUUUAAGUCCCAGGCUGAAGUAAGCUAUUUUGGUUUAACCCGGAUUAAACUCCGGUUUAAUCCGGUUUAUCUUUUGAGCGUUUUUCCUGUGUCUUUUUACUUUUAAGGCCAGUGUUUGCCUAGCCCUUGUCUUUUACGGGCAUUUUUGGUUCUGUAACUCCAAUAAACUUUGUUAUAUCUUA